rnacentral:rRNA from 1 species
UACAGAGGUGCCAAGCGUUAGGCGGAAUCACUGGGCUUAAAGCGCGUGUAGGUGGAUGGGUAAGUAUCUUGUGAAAUCCCACGGCUCAACCGUGGAACUGCUGGAUAUACUGCUUGUCUUGAGGCACUUAGGGGCAGCUGGAACAAAUGGUGGAGCGGUGAAAUGCGUAGAUAUCAUUUGGAACGCCAAAGGCGAAAGCAGGCUGCUGGGAGUGAUCUGACACUGAGACGCGAAAGCCAGGGGAGCAAACGGG